GAUAAACGCUGGCGGCGUGCCUAAUACAUGCAAGUCGAGCGAACGGACGAGAAGCUUGCUUCUCUGAUGUUAGCGGCGGACGGGUGAGUAACACGUGGAUAACCUACCUAUAAGACUGGGAUAACUUCGGGAAACCGGAGCUAAUACCGGAUAAUAUUUUGAACCGCAUGGUUCAAAAGUGAAAGACGGUCUUGCUGUCACUUAUAGAUGGAUCCGCGCUGCAUUAGCUAGUUGGUAAGGUAACGGCUUACCAAGGCAACGAUGCAUAGCCGACCUGAGAGGGUGAUCGGCCACACUGGAACUGAGACACGGUCCAGACUCCUACGGGAGGCAGCAGUAGGGAAUCUUCCGCAAUGGGCGAAAGCCUGACGGAGCAACGCCGCGUGAGUGAUGAAGGUCUUCGGAUCGUAAAACUCUGUUAUUAGGGAAGAACAUAUGUGUAAGUAACUGUGCACAUCUUGACGGUACCUAAUCAGAAAGCCACGGCUAACUACGUGCCAGCAGCCGCGGUAAUACGUAGGUGGCAAGCGUUAUCUGGAAUUAUUGGGCGUAAAGCGCGCGUAGGCGGUUUUUUAAGUCUGAUGUGAAAGCCCACGGCUCAACCGUGGAGGGUCAUUGGAAACUGGAAAACUUGAGUGCAGAAGAGGAAAGUGGAAUUCCAUGUGUAGCGGUGAAAUGCGCAGAGAUAUGGAGGAACACCAGUGGCGAAGGCGACUUUCUGGUCUGUAACUGACGCUGAUGUGCGAAAGCGUGGGGAUCAAACAGGAUUAGAUACCCUGGUAGUCCACGCCGUAAACGAUGAGUGCUAAGUGUUAGGGGGUUUCCGCCCCUUAGUGCUGCAGCUAACGCAUUAAGCACUCCGCCUGGGGAGUACGACCGCAAGGUUGAAACUCAAAGGAAUUGACGGGGACCCGCACAAGCGGUGGAGCAUGUGGUUUAAUUCGAAGCAACGCGAAGAACCUUACCAAAUCUUGACAUCCUUUGACAACUCUAGAGAUAGAGCCUUCCCCUUCGGGGGACAAAGUGACAGGUGGUGCAUGGUUGUCGUCAGCUCGUGUCGUGAGAUGUUGGGUUAAGUCCCGCAACGAGCGCAACCCUUAAGCUUAGUUGCCAUCAUUAAGUUGGGCACUCUAAGUUGACUGCCGGUGACAAACCGGAGGAAGGUGGGGAUGACGUCAAAUCAUCAUGCCCCUUAUGAUUUGGGCUACACACGUGCUACAAUGGACAAUACAAAGGGCAGCGAAACCGCGAGGUCAAGCAAAUCCCAUAAAGUUGUUCUCAGUUCGGAUUGUAGUCUGCAACUCGACUACAUGAAGCUGGAAUCGCUAGUAAUCGUAGAUCAGCAUGCUACGGUGAAUACGUUCCCGGGUCU
rnacentral:rRNA from 1 species